rnacentral:rRNA from 1 species
UACGGAGGGGGCUAGCGUUGUUCGGAAUUACUGGGCGUAAAGCGCGCGUAGGCGGCUUUGUAAGUCAGAGGUGAAAGCCUGGAGCUCAACUCCAGAACUGCCUUUGAGACUGCAUCGCUAGAAUCAUGGAGAGGUAAGUGGAAUUCCGUGUGUAGAGGUGAAAUUCGUAGAUAUUCGGCGGAACACCGAUGGCGAAGGCAGCUCACUGGGACGGUACUGACGCUGAGGCGCGAAAGCGUGGGGAGCAAACAGG